GCCAUCGGCCAUACCAUGCUGAAUACGCCGGUUCUCGUCCGAUCACCGAAGCUAAGCAGCAUCGGGCUCCGUCAGUACUUGGGAGGGUUUGACUCAUGCUGCGCGUCUGCU
rnacentral:rRNA from 1 species